rnacentral:rRNA from 1 species
AGUGAACGUUGGCGGCGUGGAUUAGGCAUGCAAGUCGAGCGAUCGUAGCAAUACGGGAGCGGCAAACGGGGUAGGAAUACAUCGGAACGUACCUUUUGGUUGAGAAUAGCGUUGGGAAACUGACGGUAAUACUCAAUAAAGUCGAGAGACCAAAGGUUUACUGCCGGAAGAGCGGCCGAUGCGAUAUUAGGUAGUUGGUGGGGUAAUGGCCUACCAAGCCUGAGAUGUCUAGGGGGUGUGAGAGCAUGGCCCCCACCACUGGGACUGAGAUACUGCCCAGACACCUACGGGUGGCUGCAGUCGAGGAUCUUCGUCAAUGGGCGAAAGCCUGAACGAGCGACGCCGCGUGCGGGAUGAAGGCCCUUGGGUUGUAAACCGCUGUCAGGGGGGAGUGAAACCGUAAGGUUGACAGAGCCCCAGAGGAAGCACGGGCUAAGUUCGUGCCAGCAGCCGCGGUAAU